AAUACUACCUCCGUUUUUUAUUAUAUGUCACUUUGGAAAAAUAUUUUGUACCACAAUAUAAGUCGUUUUAUAAUACCAAUGAAUCAUUAAUGUUAUUUUUCCUAUUAUACCCUUAAAUAUUUAUUAUAUACUACCUCCGUUUUUUAUUAUAUGUCACUUUGGAAAAAUAUUUUGUACCACAAUAUAAGUCGUUUUAUAAUACCAAUGAAUCAUUAAUGUUAUUUUU
rnacentral:lncRNA from 1 species